UUGCUACUUUUUUGGUUUUUUGCUCGAAUUUUUCUGGUGUUUUUCCUGCUUGAUACUUCUAGAGUUUUAGGCAGCGAUGGAUCUGUUUGGCGGCAGCUUAUUUUUCCUUCAAUUUCUGGAUCAUUUUGUUAUUUUUUAUUGGGCUUUUCUGGAUUUGAAUGGUUUCCGUCGUGCUGUAGAAUUUGAACUGGAACUACAGGUUCAAUAUGGAUGUUUCUUUACUCUAUCUAACUUGCUUAUACUGAUUUCAUGUCUCUGCGUAUGUAGGAGAUGAUCUUUAUAUCUAAUGGAUUUAUCAAUGUUGCUCAGAGUUGUUGCUUGAAGGAUCUUUGUUUGUACCGAGUUUUAAGCUUGUUUUAAUGAAAAUUCAACUCCGGUGAAUUUAUCACGCCUGUGAAAUACUUAUUGUUAGUAUUGUCAGAUAUUUUGCAGUCUGGGAACCUAGAAAGCUUGAGAUCUCAUCAAAUUGUUGAAAGACUAAUGAUGAUUUACUGAUGCAGAUACAAUUGUUUAUUGCUGAUAUUCGAGCGUUAAAUUUGUUUGCAUGAAGAUUGGGUGUUGAACAGUGAAGGUUCUGCUUAUAAAUCGGAUUCUAAACAUAUAAAAUGUCUACAGCAAGCAAAGCAGAUAAAAAAGUAACUUUAGAUGUGGCCUCAUGGAUGUUCAAUGUCGUUACAUCUGUUGGAAUUAUCCUUGUCAAUAAAGCCUUGAUGGCCACAUAUGGUUUCAGCUUUGGCCAACUGUACCAUAGGCACUGAACCAUGGUGCAUCCUUUUGGGGGGAGGGGAUGAUUUACAAUCUAGGUAACUAGUGAAUGAGGUAUUCAUAAAUAGUCUCUUUAAUUGCAUACUUAUUAUUCCAUACUUUAAACUGGUAUUAUUAUUGUUUAUGACUGUGUGCUAUGAUUUAAAAUUUUGUUUAGAAUCUUAGGGAUUGUAUUCUUGUUGUUAUGUGAGAAAGUCCACCUUGUACUCAUAUGAUGUCCCCGCCGACUCGGAGUAAGGGAUUAAUAAGAAUACAUGAUGUAUAAAGUAGGCACCUUUUUGAAAUGGUAAUGAUUUCAACAUUUUACAUAGGUUCCAAAUUAAAAUCCUUGGGAAAUGGAAAAGGGGAUGGGAUUGGUAGGGACCUAGAAAAUCAGCUCACCUGUUGUCAGGUGAUGCCAAAUUCUUCUUACUGACAUCAAAGAAAGGAAAUAAACAGUCAAUCUAUUCCUAUUUUUAUAUGUACUU